rnacentral:pre_miRNA from 1 species
GCUUGAUGAAAACUGCUCUUGACACAUAUGAUAGAGCUAAAAAACAUAUGUAAAAGACGAAAAUGCCCAUGUAGCAGUUUACUACCGAAGUAAAGAACCGGCUGCAGUUAACUGCUGAAGUGUGAAGUUUUUUUUUUUUUUUCUUUUUCGUCGGCAGUUAACUGCAGUCGGUUUCUUACUUCGGUAGUUAACCGUUGCAGGGGCAUUUUCGUCAUUUACAUGUGUUUUUCAGCCCUAUCAUAUGUGUCAACAGCAAUUUUCUAGC